rnacentral:rRNA from 1 species
CGGGUAGCCGGCCUGAGAGGGUGUCCGGCCACACUGGGACUGAGAUACGGCCCAGACUCCUACGGGAGGCAGCAGUGGGGAAUAUUGCACAAUGGGCGCAAGCCUGAUGCAGCGACGCCGCGUGGGGGAUGACGGCCUUCGGGUUGUAAACCUCUUUCACCAUCGACGAAGGUCCGGGUUCUCUCGGAUUGACGGUAGGUGGAGAAGAAGCACCGGCCAACUACGUGCCAGCAGCCGCGGUAAUACGUAGGGUGCGAGCGUUGUCCGGAAUUACUGGGCGUAAAGAGCUCGUAGGUGGUUUGUCGCGUUGUUCGUGAAAUCUCACGGCUUAACUGUGAGCGUGCGGGCGAUACGGGCAGACUAGAGUACUGCAGGGGAGACUGGAAUUCCUGGUGUAGCGGUGGAAUGCGCAGAUAUCAGGAGGAACACCGGUGGCGAAGGCGGGUCUCUGGGCAGUAACUGACGCUGAGGAGCGAAAGCGUGGGGAGCGAACAGGAUUAGAUACCCUGGUAGUCCACGCCGUAAACGGUGGGUACUAGGUGUGGGUUUCCUUCCUUGGGAUCCGUGCCGUAGCUAACGCAUUAAGUACCCCGCCU